rnacentral:rRNA from 1 species
GCAGUGGGGAAUUUUGGACAAUGGGCGGAAGCCUGAUCCAGCCAUGCCGCGUGAGUGAAGAAGGCCUUCGGGUUGUAAAGCUCUUUCGGUGGGGAAGAAAUUGCACGGGUUAAUACCCUGUGUAGAUGACGGUACCCGACUAAGAAGCACCGGCUAACUACGUGCCAGCAGCCGCGGUAAUACGUAGGGUGCGAGCGUUAAUCGGAAUUACUGGGCGUAAAGCGUGCGCAGGCGGUUUGAUAAGUCAGAUGUGAAAUCCCCGGGCUCAACCUGGGAAUGGCAUUUGAGACUGUCAAGCUGGAGUUUGGCAGAGGGGGGUGGAAUUCCACGUGUAGCAGUGAAAUGCGUAGAGAUGUGGAGGAACACCGAUGGCGAAGGCAGCCCCUGGGCCAAUACUGACGCUCAUGCACGAAAGCGUGGGAGCAACAGGAUUAGAUA